AUUGAACGCUGGCGGCAGGCCUAACACAUGCAAGUCGAGCGAGCGGCGGACGGGUGAGUAAUGUAUGGGGACUGCCCGAUAGAGGGGGAUAACUACUGGAAACGGUGGCUAAUACCGCAUACUAUCGGAUAACCCAUAUGGGAUUAGCUAGUAGGUGGGGUAAAGGCUCACCUAGGCGACGAUCUAUAGCUGGUCUGAGAGGAUGAUCAGCCACACUGGGACUGGGACACGGCACAGAAUCCGACGGAGGCAGCAGUGGGGAAUAUUGCACAAUGGGAGCAAGCCUGAUGCAGCCAUGCCGCGGGGGGGAUGAAGGCGUUCGGGUUGUAAACCUCUUUCGCUAUCGAACGGGUAGGUGGAGAAGAAGCGCCGGCUAACUACGUGCCAGCAGCCGCGGUAAUAC
rnacentral:rRNA from 1 species